GGACGCAUUUACUUGGAUUUAUUCUAUUUGUGGCAUUAACCUUAUCAAAUGUAGUGCAAGUGCCUCAACUCUCUGAUUUCAUGACUAUGUUUAUUUGGAACUUUCCCAUGGGUGGUGAUGCAAAUGUGUCUAACAAUUCAAAGGAAUUUUUCCAAGGUCCAUCUAGACUAAUUGAUUUAAAGCAGGACCAACACUUACAAUUGGAGAACAUGAUGUCAACAAAGAGUAUACAAAGUGAAACAACAUGGCCAUUUUAUGUAUUCUUAGUUGGUUCAAUGUUUUGUCUACUUUCAAGUAGCAUUUGUCACCUCUUUUGUUGCCAUUCACACAAGCUAAACAUCCUUUUGUUGAGAAUGGAUUAUGUUGGAAUCACAGUCAUGAUAAUCACCUCAUUCUUCCCACCAAUUUACUACAUUUUCCAAUGUUCACCACAUUGGCAAAUUGUAUACCUAGGUUGUAUCACAAUCAUGGGAAUUUGCACCAUCAUCACCCUCCUAUCACCCGUGUUCUCGACCGGGAAGUAUCGAUCAUUUCGUGCUGUUCUGUUCAUGUCUAUGGGAUUCUUUGGCCUGAUACCUGCGGUUCAUGCAGUGGUACUGAACUGGGACGAACCAGAAAGAAAUGUCACGCUAGCAUAUGAAUUGGCGAUGGCAUUGUCUUAUUUAAUCGGAACUAUUUUUUAUAUGGCACGAAUCCCGGAGAGAUGGAGACCUGGAUUUUUUGACCUAGCUGGUCAUAGUCACCAAAUAUUUCAUGUAUUUGUGAUUUUAGGUGCAUUAUCACACUAUGGUGCUGCACAAGUGUUCUUGGAAUAUAGGAGUCGAUUGAGCUGUGACACAUAGUAAAUUACAAGACACUAUAAUUUAAUUUUAUCAAA
rnacentral:misc_RNA from 1 species